GCCCAGGUGGCGGAAUUGGUAGACGCGUUGGUCUCAAACACCAAUGCCUUUGGCGUACCGGUUCGAUCCCGGUCCUGGGUA
rnacentral:tRNA from 1 species